AUUGAACGCUGGCGGCAGGCCUAACACAUGCAAGUCGAACGGUAACAGGAAGCAGCUUGCUGCUUUGCUGACGAGUGGCGGACGGGUGUGUAAUGUCUGGGAAACUGCCUGAUGGAGGGGGAUAACUACUGGAAACGGUAGCUAAUACCGCAUAACGUCGCAAGACCAAAGAGGGGGACCUUAGGGCCUCUUGCCAUCGGAUGUGCCCAGAUGGGAUUAGCUAGUAGGUGGGGUAACGGCUCACCUAGGCGACGAUCCCUAGCUGGUCUGAGAGGAUGACCAGCCACACUGGAACUGAGACACGGUCCAGACUCCUACGGGAGGCAGCAGUGGGGAAUAUUGCACAAUGGGCGCAAGCCUGAUGCAGCCAUGCCGCGUGUAUGAAGAAGGCCUUCGGGUUGUAAAGUACUUUCAGCGGGGAGGAAGGGAGUAAAGUUAAUACCUUGGCUCAUUGACGUUACCCGCAGAAGAAGCACCGGCUAACUCCGUG
rnacentral:rRNA from 1 species